CGCCGACGCGGACGGAGCCCAACGGACGCUCACGGCUCUCCGCCUCACCGCGCUCACCGCACGCCGCUCUCCGCCUCACCGCAGCCCGGCGCCGCCCGGAUGCAGGCCCUCAGCCGGAAGCGGCCCCGGCCCGGCCCCACGCAUGCGCGCUCCUCCCGAGCGGCGCUCGCACCGCUUCCCGCUGUGCUCGGCGCCCCCCGGGCCGGAGCGAGGCUGCGCGGCGGCCAUUGGCUGCGGGCGGCUCCUCCCCGCGCCUCGGGCAGCUCGGGCAGCUCGGGGCCGUGCGGGGACGGCCGUGCGGGGACGGCGAGCCCCGGGCCCCGCGCCGCCCGUGUGCGGGCCGUGCGAUCGCCGCUAACGGCCGGCCCCGCUCGGUGCGUUGCAGCCGGGAGCGCCUGGCACCGCGCUGACCGUCCGCCCGUGGAGCCGGCAGCGGAGGACGAGCGGCGGCACGACGAGGACCGGACGACGACGACGACGACGACGACGACGACGAGGACGAGCGGAGCCUGCGGACGGCCCUCAAGAAGCUGCGGCUGGACGCGGCGCGGCGGCACGAGGACGAGGAGGAGCAGCAGCAGCAGCAGCAGGACGACGACGAGGACGAGGACGACGACGACGACGACGAGGACGAGGAGGAGCGCAGCCUGCGGACGGCCCUCCAGGAGCUGCGGGUGGACGCGGCGCGGUGAGUGGCGCGGAGCGGUGCGCGGCUGUCGGUACCGCGCUCAGCAGAGACGGAGCGCUCUGACAGAUCUCUGGCGGGUCCCGUUUCUCACCGCUGAGUGCAGAGGAGCUCAGGGCUGCACACGCAAUUGUCGCAGCCCAUCACCUGAAGCUGCGGGGCCGAAUCGGGAUGCUGACGCCGUGCGCUGAGGCACCGCUGUAACGCGGCCCUCUCUCCUUUACCUCCUCCUCCCCCCUUCAUUGCUGCUGUGAACUACCUGGAUAUUCAGUGCGAUGCUGCCAGUAGCUCUGAUAGCCAGCUUCUGCACUGCAGCUCGGUUUGGAGUGGCAGUGGCCAAGACAAAGCACCUCCAGUAAAGCCCAGUCCCUUAAACACGGAAGAACUGCGGGGAAGUACCUUUACAGCAGCAGUGUUUGCGUGCCUCUCUCUUCUGGGAGAGCCCCGCUUCCUUAAGGCUCUUCCGCUGCUCCUGUCAGGGACUGCACACCAACAGCCGUCUCAGUCUUGGAAGCAAAAAGAAAAGAGCAACACCCACGUUAGGUGCCAUGAGCCACGCCACAGAGCUGCGUGAGCAACGGCACAGGUCCCGUAUUUACCUACCUGUUCACCUGUUCUGACCCUGCAGGUGUGAGAGGACUGCAGGAGGACCGGCCGGUCUCUCACGGCACGGACGUUCCGGGUCUCCUGUCCUAUCCAUCUGUGAAACAGCCCUGUGCAGCCCUCCCGCAUCCCGUUCUGUGGAGGCUCACGCUUAUGUCAGUGACGUGACUGUGGAAGACCUGGCAGGGUACCUGGAACACCAUCUGCAUAUACCAAAGAAAAUGUCUGCCAUGGCAGAAAUGAUGUAUUCAUAACCAAACAGCAAAAACAGUCACAGUCCUAAGCGUUAUCAGAAAUUUAAAUGGCUCGUUUGUGCCAUAUUUGUAAUGUUCUGUUUCAUGUACAGUUUAGUUUUGUAAUUAAGAGAAAAACUGUACAUAGUUGCAUAGACUCCUGUGGCUGAAAUGAUGUAUACUUAACUGAAAGCCAUAUUCAGUCACAUAGUAAUACAGUUUAUUUUUGUAACUCGAAUAAAAACUGUAUAUAGUCUCAUA